rnacentral:rRNA from 1 species
CAGGGUAGCAAUACCGCUGACGACCGGCGCACGGGUGCGUAACACGUAUGCAACUUACCUUUAACUGGGGAAUAGCUUCGAGAAAUCGAAAUUAAUACCGCAUAACAUUCUGAAACGGCAUCGUUAUAGAAUUAAAACUCCGGUGGUUAAAGAUAGGCAUGCGCGACAUUAGCUAGUUGGUGAGGUAACGGCUCACCAAGGCUACGAUGUCUAGGGGGUCUGAGAGGAUGAUCCCCCACACUGGUACUGAGACACGGACCAGACUCCUACGGGAGGCAGCAGUAAGGAAUAUUGGUCAAUGGGCGCAAGCCUGAACCAGCCAUGCCGCGUGCAGGAUGAAGGCUCUAUGGGUCGUAAACUGCUUUUAUACGGGAAGAAACCCCUCUACGUGUAGAGGGUUGACGGUACUGUAAGAAUAAGGAUCGGCUAACUCCGUGCCAGCAGCCGCGGUAAUACGGAGGAUCCAAGCGUUAUCCGGAUUUAUUGGGUUUAAAGGGUGCGUAGGCGGACUUGUAAGCCAGUGGUGAAAGCCUGCAGCUUAACUGCAGAACUGUCAUUGAUACUGCUGGUCUUGAGUAUAGUUGAGGUGGGCGGAAUGUGUCAUGUAGCGGUGAAAUGCUUAGAUAUGACACAGAACACCGAUUGCGAAGGCAGCUCACUAAACUAUAACUGACGCUGAGGCACGAAAGCGUGGGUAGCAAACAGGAUUAGAUACCCUGGUAGUCCACG